rnacentral:rRNA from 1 species
GAUGAACGCUGGCGGCGUGCCUAAUACAUGCAAGUCGAGCGAACAGACGAGGAGCUUGCUCCUCUGACGUUAGCGGCGGACGGGUGAGUAACACGUGGAUAACCUACCUAUAAGACUGGGAUAACUUCGGGAAACCGGAGCUAAUACCGGAUAAUAUAUUGAACCGCAUGGUUCAAUAGUGAAAGACGGUUUUGCUGUCACUUAUAGAUGGAUCCGCGCCGCAUUAGCUAGUUGGUAAGGUAACGGCUUACCAAGGCAACGAUGCGUAGCCGACCUGAGAGGGUGAUCGGCCACACUGGACCUGAGCCACGGUCCAGACUCCUACGGGAGGCAGCAGUAGGGAAUCUUCCGCAAUGGGCGAAAGCCUGACGGAGCAACGCCGCGUGAGUGAUGAAGGUCUUCGGAUCGUAAAACUCUGUUAUUAGGGAAGAACAAAUGUGUAAGUAACUAUGCACGUCUUGACGGUACCUAAUCAGAAAGCCACGGCUAACUACGUG